UACGAAGGGUGCAAACGUUGGUCGGAAUUAUUGGGCGUAAAGCGCACGUAGGCGGCUUAGCAAGUCCCAUGUGAAAUCCUACGGCUUAACCGUAGAAGUGCAUGGGAAACUGCUGAGCUUGAGUACUUAAGAGGAUCGCGGAAUUCCCGGUGUAGAGGUGAAAUUCGUAGAUAUCGGGAGGAACACCAGUGGCGAAGGCGGCGAUCUGGGAAGAUACUGACGCUGAGGUGCGAAAGCGUGGGGAGCAAACAGG
rnacentral:rRNA from 1 species